rnacentral:rRNA from 1 species
UACGGGGGGAGCAAGCGUUGCUCGGAUUUACUGGGCGUAAAGGGCGCGUAGGCGGCCACCGCAAGUCAGUUGUGAAAUCUCUGGGCUUAACCCAGAACGGUCAGCUGAUACUGCGGGGCUAGAGUGCAGAAGGGGCAACUGGAAUUCUCGGUGUAGCGGUGAAAUGCGUAGAUAUCGAGAGGAACACCUGCGGCGAAGGCGGGUUGCUGGGCUGACACUGACGCUGACAGCGCGAAAGCUAGGGGAGCGAACGGG